AAGUCGUAACAAGGUUUCCGUAGGUGAACCUGCGGAAGGAUCAUUAUUGAAUAAACUUGGUGGGUUGUUGCUGGCCUCCAGUUCAGGGGGCAUAUGUGCACACCUUCCUUUGUUUUUUCUUUCACCACCUGUGCACAUUUUGUAGACUUGGAUAAUCUUUCGAGGCAACUCGGUCGGGAGGCUGUCAACUGAUCUUAGUGGGCUGUCUCUGUAUUUCCAGUCUACGUUCUUCAUAUACACCACUGUAUGUCAUAGAAUGCAUUAGUAUUUGGGUCCUUGAAAGGCCUAAUAAAUUUCAUACAACUUUCAACAACGGAUCUCUUGGCUCUC
rnacentral:misc_RNA from 1 species